rnacentral:rRNA from 1 species
AGUGAACGCUGGCGGUAGGCCUAACACAUGCAAGUCGAACGGCAGCACAGUAAGAGCUUGCUCUUACGGGUGGCGAGUGGCGGACGGGUGAGGAAUACAUCGGAAUCUACUUUUUCGUGGGGGAUAACGUAGGGAAACUUACGCUAAUACCGCAUACGACUUACGGGUGAAAGCAGGGGAUCUUCGGACCUUGCGCGAUUGAAUGAGCCGAUGUCGGAUUAGCUAGUUGGCGGGGUAAAGGCCCACCAAGGCGACGAUCCGUAGCUGGUCUGAGAGGAUGAUCAGCCACACUGGAACUGAGACACGGUCCAGACUCCUACGGGAGGCAGCAGUGGGGAAUAUUGGACAAUGGGCGCAAGCCUGAUCCAGCCAUACCGCGUGGGUGAAGAAGGCCUUCGGGUUGUAAAGCCCUUUUGUUGGGAAAGAAAAGCAGCAGGAUAAUACCCCGCUGUUCUGACGGUACCCAAAGAAUAAGCACCGGCUAACUUCGUG